rnacentral:tRNA from 1 species
GCCCUUGUAGUUCAAUGGAUAGAACAAGUCCCUCCUAAGGAUUAGAUACAGGUUCGAUCCCUGUCAAGGGCACAA